rnacentral:rRNA from 1 species
GACGAACGCUGGCGGCGUGCUUAACACAUGCAAGUCGAACGAAGUGGCGAACGGGUGAGUAAUACGUGGGUAACCUGCCCUUCUUUUGGGGAUAACCUUUGGAAACGGGGUCUAAUACCGAAUACAGGGGGAUGGGCUCGUGGCCUAUUAGCGUGUUGGUGGGGUGCUGGCCUACCAAGGCGGUGACGGGUAGCCGGCCUGAGAGGUUGACCGGCCACAUUGGGACGGAGAUACGGCCCAGACUCCUACGGGAGGGAGCAGUGGGGGAUAUUGCACAAGGGGCGAAAGCCUGAUGCAGCGACGCCGCGUGGGGGAUGAAGGCUGUAGGGUUGUAAACCUCUUUCGCUAUAGAACGGGUAGGUGGAGAAGAAGCGACGGCGAACUACGUGCCAGCAGCCGCGGUAAUAC